GGGGAAAUUAUGACUUUAUAUGACAAGAAAUUGCAAAUUAGUCUUUGCUGACUAUGAUAUGUUUUUUUUUGGUUUUCGCGUUCUUGUCUGACAGUUGAGUUUUUCAUUAAAAGUUUUUAGUUCCUUUCGACAAAAUUGAACAUAGCAUUAUUCUUACUACAUUUGUAUAAACUUCAAGAUUAUAAUUAUUUUUUUUAAAACCGGUUUUUUUCUAAAGUGAAUAUUGAUCAAUAUUUUCGAAGGGUUAAAUAUUUCUCAGUGAUGUCCUGCCAUGGCUUUGUUUAAAUUUGUUUGUUAGCUUUUUGUUCAUGAAUUUUUGUCUCUAAUAUUUAAUUAACUAUGCAUUUGUAUUCAGAUGUUGCAGAUCAAAUAUAUUCGUUCAUUGUGUAAUCAUACGUUUUUUGAUUGAGUUAAGUCUACCAAUUGAUAUUUUAUCGUGUGUUUUUCUAUGUUGUGAUGUUAUGCUAUUGUUUCAGAAAAAGGGAGAAGGUUUGGAUCCAUUAAAACGUUUAAUCCCGCUGCAAAUGUUUGCACCUGUCCUAAGUCAGGAAUCUGAUGUACAGUAGUUGUCGUUUGUUUAUGUAAUAUAUACGUGUUUCUCGUUUCUCGUUUUGCUUAUAUAGAUUAGACCGUUGGUUUUCCCGUUUGAAUGGUUUUACACUAGUAAUGUUGGGGCUCUUUAUAGCUUGUUGUUCGGUGUGAGCCAAGGCUCCGUGUUGAAGGCCGUAUACUUUAACCUAUAAUGGUUUACUUUUUAAAUUGUUAUUUGGAUGGAGAGUUGUCUCAUUGGCACUCACACCACAUCUUCCUUUUUCUAUAGCACCUUUUGAAGUCUUACGCAAACGAUGCGCCUGUUUUCCCUUCACAGGACAUUCACUGAUAUAUUGUAGACGAAAUGCGCGUCUGGCGUAAAUAUAAAAUUUAAAUACUGGUAUCUAUGAUGAGUUAAAACUUAAAAUGCAACCACUGAGUCGACGCCAUUGCUGGUAGAGAUUUAUUUCCCCGAGGGUAUCACCAGCCCAGUAGUCAGCACUUGUGUUGACUUGGCUUAUCAUUGAUAUAAUCUUAUAAAUUAACACCGUUUUGAAUUUUUGAAAAAACUAAGGUUUUUCUACACCAGGAAUAGACUGCCUUACCUGUAUUUUGCAAAACUACUAGGAAUGUUAUGUUCUCAAUGUUCUUCAACUUCGUCCUUUAUUUUGGCCUUUCAAUCAUUAUUUUGAUUCGAGCGUCACUAAUGAGUCUUUGUAGAUGAAACGCGCGUCUGGUAUUUAUGAUGAGUUUUUUUUGUGUUAUGCCGCUACUGGAUGACCCCCUAAUUUUUUUGCCUUUUUUUUUAAAUUUUGAGCUCUAGUUUCAGAUUUUUGAACAAAGUGCCCUUCGAUACCUAGCGCAAAAGAAGAGCCUGUUUCUCUUCUACAAGACCUAUAUAGUCAUACCCCGUGACACCCCUCAUUAUUUUUCUCUAGAACUCCUGGAAUAGGCCGACCUUACCCCCAUUUUUUGGACAUUUUUUUCGAAUUUUGAGCUCUAGUUUCAGAUUUUUGAACAUAGCGCCCUUCGAUACCUAGUGCAAAAGAAGCGCCUGUUUCUCCUCUACAAGACCUAUAUAGUCAUACCCCGUGACACCCCUCAUUAUUUUUCUCUAGAAGUCCUAGAAUAGGCCGACCCCCCUAAUUUUUUUGACAUUUUUUUCAAAUUUUGAGCUCUAGUUUCAGAUUUUUGAACAUAGCGCCCUUCGAUACCUAGCGCAAAAGAAGCGCCUGUUUCUCCUCUACAAGACCUAUAUAGUCAUACCCGUGACACCCCUCAUUAUUUUUCUCUAGAAGCCCUAGAAUAGAAUAGGCCGACCCCCCUAAUUUUUUGACAUUUUUUUCAAAUUUUGAGCUCUAGUUUCAGAUUUUUGAACAUAGCGCCCUUCGAUACCUAGCGCAAAAGAAGCGCCUGUUUCUCCUCUACAAGACCUAUAUAGUCAUUCCCCGUGACACCCCUCAUUAUUUUUCUCUAGAAGUCCUAGAAUAGGCCGACCCCCCUAUUUUUUUGACAUUUUUUUCAAAUUUU
rnacentral:lncRNA from 1 species